rnacentral:rRNA from 1 species
AGCGUAGACGGUGUGGCGAGUCUGAUGUGAAAGGCAUGGGCUCAACCUGUGGACUGCAUUGGAAACUGUCAUACUUGAGUGCCGGAGGGGUAAGCGGAAUUCCUAGUGUAGCGGUGAAAUGCGUAGAUAUUAGGAGGAACACCAGUGACGAAGGCGGCUUACUGGACGGUAACUGACGUUGAGGCUCGAAAGCGUGGGAGCAAACA